rnacentral:lncRNA from 1 species
UUGAUGAGUUGAGAACCUCUUCAAUACCUCCUAUAACACUUCUCAGGAUCAUGAAUAUGAGAUGAACACCUUUCAUUCUCUAGGGAGAUCAAAGUGGAGCCGAUCCCAGACAAAUUCAUCUAUCUAGUCAUGGGCAAAUACAGUAGCAAGUCACUAUUAGAUUUGAUCCGUAGCUGGCUAUGGCUGAAGCAAGCUUUUUUAGGAGCAUACACAGGAAGCUGAAUAGGAUAAGCACUAGCUAUAAGGCUUAGCAACAUGUGAUAGGAAGAGUGAGAGUCCCUGAAGAAUUACUUCGCACAUUUCAGUACAAAAUUGAUCGUAUUUGAAAC